rnacentral:rRNA from 1 species
CGAAUGCUGACAUAAGUAACGAUAAAGCGGGUGAAAAGCCCGCUCGCCGGAAGACCAAGGGUUCCUGUCCAACGUUAAUCGGGGCAGGGUGAGUCGACCCCUAAGGCGAGGCCGAAAGGCGUAGUCGAUGGGAAACAGGUUAAUAUUCCUGUACUUGGUGUUACUGCGAAGGGGGGACGGAGAAGGCUAUGUUGGCCGGGCGACGGUUGUCCCGGUUUAAGCGUGUAGGCUGGUUUUCCAGGCAAAUCCGGAAAAUCAAGGCUGAGGCGUGAUGACGAGGCACUACGGUGCUGAAGCAACAAAUGCCCUGCUUCCAGGAAAAGCCUCUAAGCAUCAGGUAACAUCAAAUCGUACCCCAAACCGACACAGGUGGUCAGGUAGAGAAUACCAAGGCGCUUGAGAGAACUCGGGUGAAGGAACUAGGCAAAAUGGUGCCGUAACUUCGGGAGAAGGCACGCUGAUAUGUAGGUGAAGUCCCUCGCGGAUGGAGCUGAAAUCAGUCGAAGAUACCAGCUGGCUGCAACUGUUUAUUAAAAACACAGCACUGUGCAAACACGAAAGUGGACGUAUACGGUGUGACGCCUGCCCGGUGCCGGAAGGUUAAUUGAUGGGGUUAGCGCAAGCGAAGCUCUUGAUCGAAGCCCCGGUAAACGGCGGCCGUAACUAUAACGGUCCUAAGGUAGCGAAAUUCCUUGUCGGGUAAGUUCCGACCUGCACGAAUGGCGUAAUGAUGGCCAGGCUGUCUCCACCCGAGACUCAGUGAAAUUGAACUCGCUGUGAAGAUGCAGUGUACCCGCGGCAAGACGGAAAGACCCCGUGAACCUUUACUAUAGCUUGACACUGAACAUUGAGCCUUGAUGUGUAGGAUAGGUGGGAGGCUUUGAAGUGUGGACGCCAGUCUGCAUGGAGCCGACCUUGAAAUACCACCCUUUAAUGUUUGAUGUUCUAACGUUGACCCGUAAUCCGGGUUGCGGACAGUGUCUGGUGGGUAGUUUGACUGGGGCGGUCUCCUCCUAAAGAGUAACGGAGGAGCACGAAGGUUGGCUAAUCCUGGUCGGACAUCAGGAGGUUAGUGCAAUGGCAUAAGCCAGCUUGACUGCGAGCGUGACGGCGCGAGCAGGUGCGAAAGCAGGUCAUAGUGAUCCGGUGGUUCUGAAUGGAAGGGCCAUCGCUCAACGGAUAAAAGGUACUCCGGGGAUAACAGGCUGAUACCGCCCAAGAGUUCAUAUCGACGGCGGUGUUUGGCACCUCGAUGUCGGCUCAUCACAUCCUGGGGCUGAAGUAGGUCCCAAGGGUAUGGCUGUUCGCCAUUUAAAGUGGUACGCGAGCUGGGUUUAGAACGUCGUGAGACAGUUCGGUCCCUAUCUGCCGUGGGCGCUGGAGAAUUGAGGGGGGCUGCUCCUAGUACGAGAGGACCGGAGUGGACGCAUCACUGGUGUUCGGGUUGUCAUGCCAAUGGCACUGCCCGGUAGCUAAAUGCGGAAGAGAUAAGUGCUGAAAGCAUCUAAGCACGAAACUUGCCCCGAGAUGAGUUCUCCCUGACUCCUUGAGAGUCCUGAAGGAACGUUGAAGACGACGACGUUGAUAGGCCGGGUGUGUAAGCGCAGCGAUGCGUUGAGCUAACCGGUACUAAUGAACCGUGAG